rnacentral:rRNA from 1 species
UGGGGAAUAUUGCACAAUGGGCGCAAGCCUGAUGCAGCCAUGCCGCGUGUGUGAAGAAGGCCUUCGGGUUGUAAAGCACUUUCAGCGGGGAGGAAGGCGAUAAGGUUAAUAACCUUGUCGAUUGACGUUACCCGCAGAAGAAGCACCGGCUAACUCCGUGCCAGCAGCCGCGGUAAUACGGAGGGUGCAAGCGUUAAUCGGAAUUACUGGGCGUAAAGCGCACGCUGGCGGUCUGUCAAGUCGGAUGUGAAAUCCCCGGGCUCAACCUGGGAACUGCAUUCGAAACUGGCAGGCUAGAGUCUUGUAGAGGGGGGUAGAAUUCCAGGUGUAGCGGUGAAAUGCGUAGAGAUCUGGAGGAAUACCGGUGGCGAAGGCGGCCCCCUGGACAAAGACUGACGCUCAGGUGCGAAAGCGUGGGGAGCAAACAGG